GUGUCUGUGCUCCCGCUGUAGCUGCUCCAAGGUGUGCUGAGCUCUCCUAUCGCCCUCCUCUAACCUCUACAGCGGAGCAGAGAUACAGAGACAACACGUCAGAAGAGUGUGUGUGUGUGUGUGUGUGUGUGUGUGUGUGUGUGUGUGUGUGUGUGUGUGUUCUCCACCAGUAGCUUAUCUCAGAUAUUUAGUCUUCAAACACAAAUGCUGACAUACUCAUCCACCACAGCACACAACAACUUGACCUCUUCACACAGAUAAGCUUUCUGGAUGCAGUUUUCUAAAGAGAAUCUGUUGAACUACGUUUGAGCUUCAGAACUUCCUGCUGAUCAGGACCAUGAGACGCCAUCUCGAGCUCGCAGACCUUCAUUUAAGCUAAGCAGGUGUGUGUGCCAUCUGUCAUGUGUGCGCGUGUGAAAACAAAAUGUGUGUGUGCUUGUUUAUGGGAUUUUUUUAAUAAAUGAGAGAGUUAUGUG